rnacentral:rRNA from 1 species
GUCUACGUCCAUGCCAUACUGAAUGUACCCGAUCCCAUCUGAUCUCGAAAGCUAAGCAGGGUCGGGCCUGAUUAGUACUGGGAUGGGAGACCAUGUAGGAAUAUCAAUUGCUGUAGGCA